AGAAGGGGGGGGGGGGGCGGGCCACCCCCCCUGGCUACGCCCUUGCUAAGUUAUCCUAUGAUAAUGCGAAUAACAAUUUAGCAUCGUUGUUCUAUAUCCCACAAGUACAAAACACUUGGUUAAAGGAAACAGAAAAUCCCGAAUGCCUCCUGACAUUUGCCUAAAAAAAUGUGAUGUUUAGGAACUCAAACCACUUUUAGUAAACUACUCGAUUCUAAUACCAAAAACAUUUUUUCUAAGUCCAACUAGUAUAAUGCAAUUAAAGCUUAUUCCUACUUAAAAAUGAUACUGACUAUAAGUGCCCCACUUAAAUGUAACUUAGAAAUACUAUUUAAUUUAAGUAACAUCUUGUACUUGUCUUGAAUGUAUUUAAAUUCCUUACUUCGUCCAGUAUUAUCUUAUUUUCGUUUGAAACACUCUUGUUUAACAUAAAAUAGCAUUGUUCAAGCUGCCGCCCUUUAUCUGUACUAGAAAAGGAUACCACUUUACACAUUCUGGUGCGCGUCCACCAGUCUCACUUUUUAAUACAAAAAUGACCAGCAUAAAUAUUAUAUAAUUUUUUAUUUCUACCAAAUGUACAAAUGUAUAGUGAAACAUUAUAAUGAUAAUACAACAUGGUUAGGCAUAUUCAGUGUUUGUCAGUUGUAGAUGGUAGAUGGUACUGUCCGAUAAAUCUAGAUUGUUUUGUAAACAUAAACAACAACAUACUGUCGCGAAUGCAAUUUAUAUAACACUUGCUAUUCUUGCUAUAACAACUGAACAAAAUGACUGGUUGACUUUUUCGCUAGGUGUUUCACUAAACAAUUUUUUCGAGGAACGACAUCCUCUAAAAUUCAGAAUAAUCGUUUGAAUAAAUUUUAACAUUGCCUGAAUGAAAAAAAAAAGAAAUAUGUGCUGUUCGUUUAAAUUAAGGUCUCACAACAUGUAUCAAAUUCGCAGAGCUGAGGUUAGGAUCGCUCAGCGGUGAAUUUUAGCGAUUACUUCAACCGAAGAAUGACAUGGGUGACACUAUGUAAUGAUUAGUCGGGAGGACUUCUUUUGACCGGAGUCGUACCUUUAUUCGGAGUCAGUGGUAUGAAGAGUAAUGAGGAAUUAAAGUGCAGUCCCAUUUGUAGUAAAACAAGUAGUACGUUUGAUUGACAAGCAAUGACCACGUGUGCAGGAUGCGGUGAUUGGACGGUACUUGACAAUGCAAACAGUCGCAUCAGAUAUCAUUAACUGUCGGCAAAAUUAACGAUAACAAAGGAAAGCUUUGAAAAGAAUUUAAGGAUACAAAACGAAUGUCCUUUGCCAUGAAACUAAGGGAGUCGGUAGGAAAGGCAGAAAGGUAACUUUGGAGGAACAAAUAUGUAACUUGUAAUCGAAAGUUAACGAACGUAAGGGGAAAAGAAGUGGUCGCUCAAGUAGCAUGGGUGUGGUGUUGGGUGACUUGGAUUAGCAUAAGAAAUCAGAUUACCAACACUGCAGAGCUAAGCACCUCCUACUUGAGUGUGGGCGAUCCUACGUGUUGUGCUAAUGAUACCGGCAAUUAGCGUACGACAUCUAAAGGUAACUAUAUAAACAGAAGACUUGUAAGUUUACCAACUUAAUGAGAAGUUGAAGAUUGAUAAGUACCCAAAACAUGGUACGACCCGAUAAAAGUCAUUAUGUCGCUAAUUAAGCGAACAACUUCCUAUUCAAUCUAAAUCAACAAAAACUAACAAUGCCUCAAGAAUGCUCUCCCUUGAACAACCCUUUUAGCUAGAGCAAAUAUCUUAACUUUGUCUAUUUGCUUACUACAAUUAGCAAAAUACGGAUUCAUUCUAACAUAACCUGACAUAACAACUGGAAAGACAGUGAUUAUAGGAUUGCUCGUUCUUAAGAAAAAGAGGCGGAGGAUUUUGUAAAUUCAGGGGUGAUAAACAAAAUGGAAAUCAAUCCUAUAAAACCCAUCACUGUCUUUCCAGGUCAACCAUGUUUGGUGGUCCGCAAAGUCCGGGAAUCCAAUAAUCCCGCCUUGUCUCACUACUCUCUCAUCGGCCUCAUGCGGCACGUAUCUUGUGAGGGUGCCGCCAUGCUCUAAUGAGCGAAGAGUGAUGCUAGAAACAAACGAAACACGUCAAUCAUUGUUUGGAAAUAUUAUCGCUCACCUCAGGGUGUCGAAGGUGACAGAAGGCAUGGCGCGCCCUUGUAACAUGGCAACCUGCAGAAAGAGGCUUACCAUACCGGCCGUGGCCUGACUAUAGUCCUUGCAUACAAGUCCCCGCACAGAUAUUUCUCCAAACGUCUGUGGGGGACUCUGGAACUUUCUUGGGUUAUCCAUGUCUUCAACUGUCCAUUGAAGACAGUGGACAAAAGAGUGGUCCAAUCUUACGCCAGCAGAUACCUAUCCAACCAAUUUAAGUGUUAGUACUGGAUAUGGAAAUGUAAAUUGCACUAAUCAAAUGCUGUUUAAAUAAAUUGGUUAACUGUA